GACGAACGCUGGCGGCGUGCUUAACACAUGCAAGUCGAACGGAAAGGCCCCCACUUUUUUGGUGGGGGUGCUCGAGUGGCGAACGGGUGAGUAACACGUGGGUGAUCUGCCCUGUACUUCGGGAUAAGCUUGGGAAACUGGGUCUAAUACCGGAUAGGACCAUGGUUUAGUGUCUCAUGGUGGAAAAAUUAUUGUUUUGGUGCAGGAUGAGCUCGCGGCCUAUCAGCUUGUUGGUGGGGUAAUGGCCUACCAAGGCGUCGACGGGUAGCCGGCCUGAGAGGGUGGACGGCCACAUUGGGACUGAGAUACGGCCCAGACUCCUACGGGAGGCAGCAGUGGGGAAUAUUGCACAAUGGGCGCAAGCCUGAUGCAGCGACGCCGCGUGGGGGAUGACGGCCUUCGGGUUGUAAACUCCUUUCGUUAGGGACGAAGCCGCACCUUUUUGGGGUGUGGUGACGGUACCUUUGUUAAGAAGCACCGGCUAACUACGUG
rnacentral:rRNA from 1 species